UACAGAGGUCUCAAGCGUUGUUCGGAUUCAUUGGGCGUAAAGGGUGCGUAGGUGGCGCUGUAAGUCGGGUGUGAAAUUUCGGAGCUUAACUCCGAAACUGCAUUCGAUACUGCGGUGCUUGAGGACUGGAGAGGAGACUGGAAUUCAUGGUGUAGCAGUGAAAUGCGUAGAGAUCAUGAGGAAGACCAGUGGCGAAGGCGGUUCUCUGGACAGUUCCUGACACUGAGGCACGAAGGCCAGGGGAGCAAACGGG
rnacentral:rRNA from 1 species